GAUGAACGCUGACAGAAUGCUUAACACAUGCAAGUCGAGCGGAAACGACACUAACAAUCCUUCGGGUGCGUUAAUGGGCGUCGAGCGGCGGACGGGUGAGUAAUGCCUAGGAAAUUGCCUUGAUGUGGGGGAUAACCAUUGGAAACGAUGGCUAAUACCGCAUAAUGCCUACGGGCCAAAGAGGGGGAUCUUCGGACCUCUCGCGUCAAGAUAUGCCUAGGUGGGAUUAGCUAGUUGGUGAGGUAAUGGCUCACCAAGGCGACGAUCCCUAGCUGGUCUGAGAGGAUGAUCAGCCACACUGGAACUGAGACACGGUCCAGACUCCUACGGGAGGCAGCAGUGGGGAAUAUUGCACAAUGGGCGAAAGCCUGAUGCAGCCAUGCCGCGUGUAUGAAGAAGGCCUCGGUUGUAAGUAC
rnacentral:rRNA from 1 species